UUUUAAUAAUGACUGCAUUUAUCAUCCAGCUCACAACUUUCCUGAAAAUUUGACUCUCAACGACCGAUUCAGACUGGUUCUAGCACACUGCUAAAUACAUGUAUGACACUGAUGGAAAGAGGUUUGGAAGGUGACACCCAAAAUUACUGACUGUGGCAAUCACUUCUUGGUGGAGGGAGUUAUGGGGCAGGUUUGGAUCCAGACUGAAUUCUGCGGAGUGGUUCUGCUAGUGUGUUGUGGUUCUUGGGACACUGCAAACUGACGGCAGCUCUGUGCUGGGCAUCAGAGCCAUAAAGAGGCUGUGACUGCCUUGGGUUUGUGCCUUGGACUGCUUCCAGAGAAACUCUGUAAGAUUGGCAGCCAAAAACUUGAGUCUAGCUGUCAUUACUGCAUAUUUUUUUGGGAAAUGAUGGAAUGGGCAGGCACCCACCCUUGAAUUUUAUAUAAUUCUCUUUUUUGGAGCAAAAUUUUCACUCAGUUAAAAACUAACACAUAGAGAAACAUUUUGCUGUGCAACUUUCUAAAGUAUAUGAAACUGGAAAGUCCAAGAGUAGAGGACCGUUUAGUCAUGCGCGGAUACAGAUAAUGUCAUCCAUCAAGAGUUCGUAUGUAUCGCUCAGCUUUGCAUUCUCCUGCACGGGCUUAUUCCCAGUCUGGUUAAGCUUAAGCUGAAUGUGGCUGCCGUCAACACCAGGCUUCCACCAGGCUUCCGCCCUACCAGAGAACUGAUUGCUAAACUUUUUCGAGCACACCGCUGCCCAUCGAUGAAGUUGUUUCCUACUACCGCUUUGAAUCUCCCCAGAGCCGAAGUUUUCUCUGUGUUAGACACUGGAGGAGGGACUGUGGGACACGUGAGGGACAAAGGCACCUGGCCUGCUUGAGCUGGCUCUUGGGACCUCACAGAGAGAAGAAAGAGACAGUCUUUCUAGCCAUUCCUCUGCAGGUCCUAAGGGUGGAUCUUAUUCAUCAUAAGACUACAUGUGAAAAGCAUAAAGAUCUGUUAUUUCUUUGGACUGCCUUCCUAUGGCGUUCUUCUGCUCUGGUACUCUGGAGCUAUAUUCCAUCUCCCAGCGCUUGCUUCAGGCCGUCUUCAGUUCGAUAGCCUAUUAUCCCUCCUUUUUAUGCACCCCUACCCCUAGGUUAACAAUCUAGCAGCUCUGGCCCACAGCACGGGAGCCAGACUCUCCCCACACUCCCACCUCCACCACCCAGGGAAG
ensembl:lncRNA